rnacentral:lncRNA from 1 species
AUGCUUUGUCUGAUUUCUCUCUCUCCCUGUGUGUGUCUGUGUCUGUGUGUUUGUGUAUGUGUCUGUGUGUGUGUACCCAUCAAUCUACUACCAGCCAAAUUUAAACUUGUUCUACUCUCAUAUCCAGGCAAUAAUUCUGACCUAUCUUGGUUCUCUCUCAUCACAAUUCUUUCUGUUGACUGCUCUAUCACUCUAGUACUCACACCUGGACCAUUUUUCACAAAAUCAAAUAUGAGGGGCUUGUAUGGACUAAAGCAGUGUUUUUCACUGUGCUAAUUAGACAUCUAGGCCCACAGAGCUGCCUUGGCAGCUGCCCAAUCAAACAGUAAAAGACCAACAGAGUAUGAUUCCAGCCCCAAUCCCACUUUGCUCUGAGCAGCUCCACCAUUAUCUGUUUUAUGUGCAAAUUCCAAGUAUGAUCUUAUCUGAAAAAACCUGUGCUAUUACCUUAAGGAAUAAAAGUUCCAAAACCACUUUUUGUGACUUUUUAAGGCCCUUCUUACCUCUAAAAUUCAAGUCCUGUGAAAUACAGUAAUACAAUUAUUAAGACAGAAUUUUUAAAAUUCCUAGUUAAACUUCUACUUAUUAAUAUACAUCUUUAUAUCAUUUCUGGCUCAUGUAAUUUAAAAGGUUUGAAUAAAUUUAAGGUAAAAAUGCAUAAGUUAUUCUGGAUUUACUAACAGUCAACAGGGGGGGAGUGUAAUAAGCCUCCAAGAGUCCAUAGCAUCUAUGAAGAAGUAGGGAAACAUCUCUAAGACAGCACAUACCCUGAAGUGCAUAGGAUUUUAGCCUUUUUCCCAAAUGGAAGUGCAUUGUAAUAAUACGCUUUCCAUAGCCCACCUGUAUUUAAGCAAUGACUGAGUCGAUGAAAAGAGAGUUUCCAUGCUCCUAUGUUCCAUGGCAAUUCGAACUUUUGGGGCCUUUCUUUCUGCUUCAUGCAACUUUGCAAUAGCAAAUAAACAAAUAACAAGCGUCCAGCUGGAGAGUGAAACCAGCUUGUAUGGCCUUCAAGGUGUGGAAGACGGAAUGUAGUACAGUGGGUUCUUGGCAUUUAGGUCCGAAGAUUAGAUGCUGAGAGAAACCAGGCAGGAGGGGAACCUCGAAGCCAUACCUCACAGUAGGGCCACAGAGGCUUUAUGGGGCUUCAAGUCUUGGCAACUGAUUUUUCUCUUCAAGUCUGGUUACCAACAUAAUUUUUAUGUACCUGAUUAACUCUCAGUAUGGGAAUUCACUUCUCCAAGCUUUUUAUUCUAUUACUGUAUGUACUGUAUAUGUAAAGAUGGGGCUUCCCAGGUGGCUCAGUGUUUAAGAAUCCACCUGCCAAUGUAGGAAACUCAGGUUUGAUCCCUGGUCCAGGAAGAUUCCCUGGAGAAAGAAAUGGCAACCCACUCCAAUUUUCUUGCCUGGAAAAACCCCUUGGACAGAGGAGCCUGGUGGGCUAGAGCUCAUGGAGACACAGAGUUGGACACAGAGACUGAUCAACAACAAUAUGUAAAGACUUUAGGCUUGAUGGCUCAGAGCUGGUUUCACACUGGAAAUGGGGCAAAUCUGAAUUAAGAUGCCCUAAAAGUGCUGCAAAAUACAU